GUGAAUCAUCGAAUCUUUGAACGCAUAUUGCGCCCCUUGGUAUUCCGGGGGGCACACCUGUUCGAGCGCCAUUUCGACCCUCAAGCAUAGCUUGGUGUUGGGUGGAGUCCCUGGGGGGACCCCCCCGUAACCCGUAGGCGGUCGCCCGCCCGCAUCCCCCAGCGUAGCAAGCUCACGCACUCGCUCGGGGAUGGGACGCGACCAUGCCUUGCAAACCACCACUUUAAAGGUUUGGCCUCGGAUCAGGUGGGGAUACCCGCUGAACUUAAGCAUAUCAAUAAGCGGAGGA
rnacentral:misc_RNA from 1 species